GCAGGAGUCAAAGCGCUUCGUUCAGUGGCAGUCCUCGAUUUGAAAGUGUCCCCCUCAUUGACCGUCAUUCCCCACCCCCUUCGUAUUCCCCCAGCAUGCGAGCGUCUUACGUCGGUGCUAGCGAAGAAGUGGAACCCCCCUACCGGACCAGACACCAGCCCUAGAUGCAUCCCAGAAGACCCCCCCUACCCACAUCCACACCAUCUGACUAACACAGAGCAGAUUCCCCCUCUCCAAUUUUAUAUCAGAGUGCAAACGAAGCGCCCCGAUUGCCACGCCCCGUUGCCCUCUUACCAGCAUCUCUUCUUCACACUUAAAUUGCCUGGCCUCUGGAAGAAAGCAAAGGAAGAGGAGCUGGGAAAGGUCUCACCGCUGGUGCAUAAGGGACACGGACGGGGCAAGAAUGAGGAGUGGGAAAAGACAAACAGGAGGGGGUCCCAGAGAGGUGUCAUAAAAAAGAGGUAUGAUUGAGAGCUGGGACAACGGAGAACAGCUGGGCGAGACAACAGGAGUGAAUGGUGAUGAACGAAUGAGCGAGGGAGGAAUCGGCUCUCUGCCUCCGACAAAGCGGAUUCUGGCCCAUAAAACCUUACGCAGCAACAAACGAGGCAGUCUUUCAGAUGUUACAGGAUUCUUUUGCAGCAAGCAACAGCCCAUUUUAGAAAAGAGCAGGCGAGAGGUUUAGUGAGUAAGGAUUCCUUCGCAGCAAACAGGAACCCGUUUUAGAAAAGAAGGAGUGGGGAAUCUGCUCUCCGCGUCCGACAAAGCGGAUUCUGGCCCACCAAACCUUACGCAGCAACAAACGAGGCAGUCUUUCAGGUGUUACAGGAUUCUUUUGCAGCAAGCAACAGCCCGUUUUAGAAAAGAGCAGGCGAGAGGUUUGAGAGUAAGGAUUCCUUCGCAGCAAACAGGAUUCCUUCGCAGCAAACAGGAACCCGUUUUAGAAAAGAAUGAGUGGGGAAUCCGCUCUCCGCGUCCGACAAAGCGGAUUCUGGCCCAUAAAACCUUAUGCAGCAACGAACAAGGCAGUCUUUCAGGUGUUACGGGAUUCUUUUGCAGCAAGCAACAGCCCGUUUUAGAAAGGAGCAGGCGAGAGGUUUAGUGAGUAAGGAUUCCUUCGCAGCAAACAGGAUUCCUUCGCAGCAAACAGGAACCCGUUUUAGAAAAGAACGAGUGGGGAAUCCGCUCUCUGCAUCCGACAAAGCGGAUUCUGGCCCACCAAACCUUACGCAGCAACCAACAAGGCAGUCUUUCAGGUGUUAUGGGAUUCUUUUGCAGCAAGCAACAGCCCGUUUUAGAAAAGAGCAGGCGAGAGGUUUAGCGAGUCAAAAAAAUACAGCAAAAGAAUAGGAAGGCCAGUGUGUGCAUGCAGAAAACGAAUGAAGGGAGGGACAGAGCAAAUGAGUGAAAGGAGGGAUGAAUGGAAAGAUCGAGGGAGUCAGUUCGUGGCAAGUCACAAAACGAUGGGGUGUGUUGUCCCACCAUCCGAGGAGGACGCUGCCCUGCUCCGUGCUCCCAUAUUGGGUAGACCAGAAGAAUCGGAGGACACUGCUGGAACCCCCCAGGGAGACCAGAACAGAAGGAAGAGGGGAGUCCAGUUGACGUCCAGAGACACCCUCCUCCCCACCAGCCUCCUUGUUCCUGAUUAGAGCCCCCUCAGCACUAACAAGCGUUUGGAAUUUGCCCAGUUUAAAAUAAAAGGGAAACUUUAUUUUA